CAGGCGGGCGCAGAGCAGCUGAGUGACAAAGCCGGCUGCCACCGCCCGGAGUGGGAGUCCCUCUUGCCAGCCCACCCCGCGGCUCGGGAGAGCGUAAAAGUUUGUCUCUGCUCAAGCGUUCCGAGCGCCCCCAGGCAGAUUGCCAGAAUUUGCUGCUUCCCACCUUUCCUCAAGACUUCUAGAAGUAAUAGACAGUAAUAGUCUAAGACAAAUCAGCCCCUUCUUGUAAAACAGAAGAAGGAAAAGAAGAGCCCUAGGAAAGCUGGGGUGAAUAUUCCUAUUGGCAUACACAGGAGAGCAAUUAAUAAGCUACUUUAUUGGCUUGAUAAACACUUUUAAUUGGAAAAAUUCUGGAAUUGAUGGCAUAUAACAGAACAUGUAGAUUGUGGCCAUGGAUUUACAUCACAGGUUGCAGCAGAUGGUUUCAAUAGUUCUCUUGGAUGCUCUUCAUCUGUGCCUUCAAGAGGAACCCUGGGCUUCAUUUGUGGUCAUUGCUCUGUUCUAGUAUGACACUCUACUUCUCCAUUGAACUCUUCCUGCUCACACUGAGAAGCUUGGAUAUAAUUUGGCCUUUUGUUUUUAUAAUAAGCUGUUGUUGAGGAAGGAGCUUUGACAAUGGAAGUAACUAACUAGCAGGUCCAUUGCCACUGUUGAAAUCAGCUGGAGACUCAUUGCUACUGACGACAGCCCAUGUCCAUCAGCUGACGUGACAGCAGCGUGACCAGCAUGGGUAGAGCAAGACUGCUUCGCCGCUGGAAGCCACUGUAAGAAGCUCCCGGCUUCUAGGUGCAUCUUAUCUGAAAGUCACCAUUGAUAAACUGUAAACCGAGGUCCAGAAAUUGGAUUUAUGAAGAUAUAUUUUUGAAAAAUUGAUGGAAAAAAGACAUUUUGGAAAAAUAAAUGCUGGGGUCAAAGGUGUGAACUCCUGGCUGUACAUUUCGAAAGGAGAAAAUGAUGAGGUGAAAGACAGUGAGAUGGUGGUAAAGGAUCCAUGUCUCAAUACAAACUAUGAGCCAGUAACUGCUUUAAAUCAACAGAAGACAAAACCAAACCAAACGUUAGAGAAGAACCUCAAAUAAAAAAGAGUAACAAACGGAAAAGAAGAGCCACAUAUGCACAGCUGUGAGGAGUGAGCAUCGAAACCACACAUGUGCCAUAUCAUCACUGCCAAAGGCACCCUCCUUGAGACUGUCCCAGAAAGAAAACUCAAACUGUAUCAGUAGAUACUUAGGUGAACGCUGUCUGCUUUUUCUCUGGACUUCUAUUGUUUAGAAAGAAUUAUUAUUUUUUUAAUUACGACUAUUUUAUUUUCUGUCAUUUUGCCUCUUGUGAAUAUCGCAUAAAAAGAACCAUGUGCUGUAGUUUCAGUGGGAUUUGUAGCUCUAGGUUAGUGUCCUAGAGGCUUCAUCCUUACUAUGGCAGCCCUGAGGUGGGGAGCUUUAAGAAGGGUGGUCUAGAGGGAGCUGCUUAGGUCAUGCUUUGUGUACUUCAUUUUGAGGAUCUACUUUUUUUGUUGUAUGAAUACUUCUUUUUAUUGUUGAGCAAUAUUUUUACAAUUCUAAUAGUAAUGUCUCAGCAGAUAUAUGAUUUGAAAAAAAUUCCAUCUGUCAUCGGUUUCCUCUUCAUAUAGACAGUAAUAUAUUUUGAGACAAAAUUAUAUUGAUUUUUAUCAAGUAUAACUUUUUAAUUUUUGUGGCUAAUUUGUUCUGUACACAUCAAAGACUCAUUUGCCACCUCAGAGGUCAUAAAGAUCUAACUCUAUGUUUUUUUCUACUAAUUGCAUAAUUAAAGCUCUUGUAUUUAGGUCAAGUAUCUAUUUUGCAUUAAUUGUAGUAAUAAUGGUUAGAGGUGGUGGGGAUGUAUGCAGUCUCUUUAUUUUGUAUGUGGCUACCCAUUUGUCCCUGUACCAUUUGCUGAAUAUAUUUAUUUCCUGAUUGAAUGUUCUGUUCAUGCUUGUUGAACAUCAGUUGGCAGGACUGAAGAUAAAGACGGAUCAGUAGUUAAAAGCUCUUGCUGCUCUUGCAGAGGAUCUAGGUUCAAUUCCUAGCUCCCAU